rnacentral:rRNA from 1 species
AACGAACGCUGGCGGCAUGCCUAACACAUGCAAGUCGAACGAGAUCCUUCGGGGUCUAGUUGCGCACGGGUGCGUAACGCGUGGGAAUCUGCCCUUAGGUUCGGAAUAACAGUUAGAAAUGACUGCUAAUACCGGAUGAUGACGUUAAGUCCAAAGAUUUAUCGCCUGAGGAUGAGCCCGCGUAGGAUUAGCUAGUUGGUGUGGUAAAGGCGCACCAAGGCGACGAUCCUUAGCUGGUCUGAGAGGAUGAUCAGCCACACUGGGACUGAGACACGGCCCAGACUCCUACGGGAGGCAGCAGUGGGGAAUAUUGGACAAUGGGCGCAAGCCUGAUCCAGCAAUGCCGCGUGAGUGAUGAAGGCCUUAGGGUUGUAAAGCUCUUUUACCCGGGAUGAUAAUGACAGUACCGGGAGAAUAAGCCCCGGCUAACUCCGUG